rnacentral:misc_RNA from 1 species
ACAAAAGAUUGCACUUCUGUAACUGGUACAUGUAUCACAAGAAUUGUAAUUUAUUCUGCACUUUUCCCAUGUGUUUUGGUUUUUAAGGAUAGGUCUAAAUGAGGUAUAUAUGAUAUUGUGUUCAGGACAAUAGUAUUAAUGUGCACUGUGAUAUGAAAUCCAACUUGACUAAUUAGCAUGUCUUACUUCCUUUGCUGUAGAUUAUAAAGCUUUAAGUUCUAACACGAAUAACAUAUUAUUAAAGCUAGCUGCAAAUAGUUUCAUUACUUGGAAAAACUCCAGGUUAGUGCCGUGUGUACUCAAACUUUAACAUUGAUAGCUUUUUAGGAUUUUCUUUUAGUUUAAAACUUUGUGUUGUGAAAGAAGUGUGUGAUGGUUCAUCAUCGAAGGUGGCUUAGGAUGUAAGGAGAAUUCUUUUGUCAAAACAACACUGAAUUUAUUUUUGAAUUUUCAUCUAACCCACUAAAAAAUGUUGAUAAUGAAUAGACUUGUGAAACAGACUUUGUUCUGUAUUUUAGGAUGAUUUAGCCCCCAUCCUCAGUGCGCCCGUUCCAAUGUUGUCUGAAUGUCUCUGUGAUCGAUGUAUGUUAAGUGUUAUAACUGUAGUCAUAUGUCUUGUUUAAAAUCAUUCUGUUUUUCAACUUCUUAAGUUUGGAAUUUGAAAUAUAUGAUUGGCAUUCGUUUGAUCAUUCCAUCUUAUUGGCAGACAAAAAAAUCUUCAGUCUUGAGAGGUGUAAACCCUAUUUAGCAGAUGGAAUCAAGUGAUUAUAUAAUUUUACUUAUGGGUAGACAUUUACCUCUAUACAAUAUAUAGGUACGUGUACUUCCAGUUCGGAAGGCCAGCUAGCAAACAAAAAUCAUCACUGGAUCACUACAUAUGUAUUAAUAUUAAAUAUUCAUCAAGGUUAUAUAUAAAUUCUAAAAUGUCCUUGUAGAAAUAUGAGCAUCUUUCUCUACAUUUUUUUUUGUGAGGUCAUUUUUUUAUAUCCAUUCUUUUAUAAGAAAGGCUAAUCUAGUUAUAGUUAAUCUUUUAUUUAAAGAAAAAUGCAUAUCAUAAGAAUGAUACAUCAAACACCAGUGUUUGCUAAGAAAUGAACUUAUGCGAAACAAAACACGUACAUUGAAUCAGUUAUGAUUUUUCAUCAAAACAUAGCGAGGGUGGUGUGAUUAACGACCACUAACAAAAGCAUGCUUUUUGCAUCAGAUUAAAGCCAUUUUAAACAAAAAUAGUUUAUACCGGUUGUGACUUUUAAAUUUUUAGAGAUUUUAAUUAUUUUGUACAUUUGGUAGACAUGAAGUUAAUUUAUUCAAUGAAAGCUGUAAGGAAGUGAUGAUGCUGGCUCAUCACUAUGUACAAUAAAUCUUUUCAAU